rnacentral:misc_RNA from 1 species
GAAAUGCGAUAAGUAAUGUGAAUUGCAGAAUUCAGUGAAUCAUCGAAUCUUUGAACGCACCUUGCGCUCCUUGGUAUUCCUUGGAGCAUGCCUGUUUGAGUAUCAUGAAAUCUUCAAAGUAAAUCUUUUGUUAACUCAAUUGGUUUCUACUUUGGUAUUGGAGGUCUUUGCAGCUUCACACCUGCUCCUCUUUGUUCAUUAGCUGGAUCUCAGUGUUAUGCUUGGUUCCACUCGGCGUGAUAAUUUAUCUAUCGCUGAGGACACUGUAAAAGGUGGCCAAGGUAAAUGCAGAUGAACCGCUUCUAAUAGUCCAUUGACUUGGACAAUACUUUUAUGAUCUGAUCUCAAAUCAUGUAGGACUACCCGCUGAACUUAAGC